UCCCUCAAAAGUGUCCCAAACGUC
rnacentral:siRNA from 1 species